rfam:Camelus ferus unplaced genomic scaffold scaffold765, whole genome shotgun sequence.
GGAGGAUACAGCUCAAGUGCUAGAGCACAUGCUUAGCAUGCAUGAGGUCCUGGGUUCAAUCCCUGGUACCUCCU